rnacentral:lncRNA from 1 species
GUUUCUCUUUUUUAAGUUUUGAAAUUUUUAUUUUUCCUCUCUUCUGGGAUGCACCACCUUUUCCUUUUACAUUAUUAUUGUUUUUUUUUUUUUUUUUUUUUUUUACAGUAACUUUGAAGACAAAUGUGAUUGCAUUGUGAGAACCUUUAUAUCUUGCCUUGGGAAAUGGAACAGGUGCCAUGACUAUCAAGCAAUGUGCCUGCCCCUUUGCAAACAACUAUUAUGGCUUGAUAGUUGAGAACUGCUGCCACUGUACCAGCCCUCAAGUAGUUGAAUGAAUGUUAGAAUAAUUAGGUAAAUAGCUUAUCUAUGCAAAUAAGUAUUUGAGCUGAUAUUUGAUCAUGCAUUCUUAGUCUUUCUUAUUGUCCAGGACCAAACGUAAUAUUUGGUAAUUUGGACAAUUUACCAAAUACUGUCAAAGAAAGAAGAAAUAACUAAGAAACAAUGUAAGCAAGCUUGUCCUGCCAACUGCAAGAUAGUCAGGAAGCUUUUUGAGAGAUAGUCCUAAUUGUCAUGAAAUGCCAUAAUUUAUUUGGUAUAGCAGAUUACAGUCAGAAAAGCACAGGGAAGGCAUUAAAUUCUUUGGGUAUGUAGCUCUGCAACUAUGGAAGAGGGUGAGUAGAAAACUCUGGAAGGCUGCAAGUGAUAAAGUUGGUAUGCCUUAGGGAAUUAACACCCUGCAUCUGGAAAUUAUAACCAUGCUCCUGAAACUUGGGAGCUGGCUGGAUAUAUUCCUUCCACUAUUCUGCCAAAACAGAAUAAAAUGGGCAAAGAAGGAAGAAAGUAAACAGACUUGGAAACAGAAAGAGCAUGCAAUGAGAGGUAUGCAGCAGUGGGAGGAUAAGUUAUGCUCCAGGGCUAGGGUCAGCCCUUUACAAGGACAACAAAUUGGACCAAUUGAGGCAUCAUAUUGUGAGCAGGCAAUAGUGAGUGAGCUGAUUGCUGCAGUGGAGCUGGAGAACACUUGAGAGACCGGAUUGACCUUGCGAAGACCAAGUGACUCACAUCAUUGGAAAAGAGAGUGGUUCUUACAAGACCAAGAGUUGUCAUGCUGUAUGCAUGACAGCAAAAGACGACAGAAAAGAAAAUAAUUGUAUGCAUAUGCAAAUUGCCAGCAGUCUGUAUUGCUAUUGAGCAUAUAGAAUCCAUGACCAAGCUGACACUUCUGUUGUGUUUAGCAAUUGCAGUAUAAUACCCAAGACCUAUUGAAAGCAAGAGAAAAGUGGUGUAGCUUUCACAUUAUAUGUCAAAACAGUCCAGAAAAUGUCACCUUUCCUUCCUAAUCAUUUGUUCCGCUUCCCCUGAUCACUAUGUAAUACAUGACCAAAACAAGAACUUAGAGGGA